rnacentral:rRNA from 1 species
UCACUGUAACGCCCUGAGUGCUGCGGAUGUUUCGCAGAAGUUGACCGAACUUGAUUAUUUAGAGGAAGUAAAAGUCGUAACAAGGUUUCCGUAGGUGAACCUGCGGAAGGAUCANNNAAGUUCUCCUUUCAAGUUAUAAACAAAAACACAAUAUAUAAAAUACUUAUAUUGUAAAAUUAUGGCAAAUGCCAAAAAGAAACAAAAUAACAAUAAUAAAAAUGUUUAUUAUUGUAUCGCCUCCUAGGCAAAAAAGUAUAGUAUAAAGUGUUUGUGUGUGUUACACAUUACACAAAAAUUGACUUAUUUAUAUAAAAUUUGUAAAAACUGAAAUUGUGUGGACGUUAUACAAAAUUAAUUUGUAUAGAAAAUGUCUAAAAAUUUGAAAUACAUAAAAUUAUAGUUGUACUUGUAUAAAAUUGAAAAGUAAUUUUUUAUAUAAGUCAAUCAUUGUUCGUUUUUUAAGAACUUGAGACAUUCGCAACAAAAAUUUUAUGUUUUAGUUAUAAAAGAGAAGAAUAAUAAGCAAAAAUUAUUGAAGGAAUUGAUAUAUGCCAAUUUGAA